AUGAAAAAAAUCAGCCCUGAGAUAAUCAGGUAUGGUGCUUUAUACAUUUCUUUAAAGGAGUUAGUUGAUUCGAUGAAGCCGGUUCAAUGGUUGUCAAACAUUGUUAUUGAGACUAGAAUCUUACACAUCAUGGAUAACUUACCAGAAGGGUCAAAGAAGGUUGUUAUGCCACUGAGGUUUUCUAUAAAUUUACAGCAAGGGAUCCACAAUGUGAAUGAGAUAAACAAGAAGUUUGAUUACAAGAACCGUCUUGACAAGAAAGACUUGGUCAUGCUGCCAGUGCUCGAGUGCGCUGAUGUAACCGAUAAGGAGGGAGGGAGGCAUUAUUGGGUCUUCAAUGUCAAUUUGAGGGACGGACGCUUCGAAGUUCUUGACUCAAACAGGACGCUGGACAACAUUGAGCUGAUGACCACCGCCUCUACCAUCGCGGGGGCAGUACGCCAGCUAUGGAGGAAGCAUUACCCAAAGUUCAGCAUCGAGCACUUCCAGAUUAUUGACGUUGAUGUACUGAAGCAGCUCGGCAAUAAUGAGUGUGGGUUGUUUGCACUGCUUAACGCCACCGAGUGGAAUGGUAGCCAACUGCCCUACGACCCCAAGGAAGUACUCAACAUCAGGAAGAAGCUGGCAUAUGAUUGGGUCACCAGCGUGCACAACACCGCCCCAUGGAGGAAGUUGCUAAGAUACGACAAGGAGUAG
rnacentral:rRNA from 1 species